GUUUUCCCGAAAUUUUUGGCGAUAAGAGUAAGUAGGUUGUUUUUUUAAGCGUAGGGUUAAAGCCAAUGUGCUCAAACUUAUUUUUCGCCCUCCGAAACCUGGAAGACUUGUAUUCCAGGAGGGGAAAAGUAGAAUUCCUAGUGUAGCGUGGAAUGCGUAGAUAUUAGGAAGGAAUACCGGUGGCGAAGGCGACUUUUUGGACCUGUAACUAACACUGAGGUACGAAAGCGUGGGGAGCAAAACAGGAUUAGAUACCCUGGUAGUCCACGCCGUAAACGAUGAGCACUAGGUGUCUGCCUGUUAAGGGUAGGCGCCGGAGUUAACGCAUUAAGUGCUCCGCCUGGGGAGUACGCACGCAAGUGUGAAACUCAAAGGAAUUGACGGGGACCCGCACAAGCAGCGGAGCAUGUGGUUUAAUUCGAAGCAACGCGAAGAACCUUACCGGAACUUGACAUCCUUCUGACAGACCUUUAAUAGGGUAAUUCUUCGGACAGAAGAGACAGGUGGUGCAUGGUUGUCGUCAGCUCGUGUCGUGAGAUGUUGGGUUAAGUCCCGCAACGAGCGCAACCCUUGUCAUUAGUUGCCAUCAUUAAGUUGGGCACUCUAGUGAGACUGCCGGUGAUAAACCGGAGGAAGGUGGGGAUGACGUCAAAUCAUCAUGCCCCUUAUGUUCCGGGCUACACACGUGCUACAAUGGUCGGUACAAAGAGAAGCGAGACUGUGAGGUGGAGCAAAUCUCAAAAACCGAUCCCAGUUCGGAUUGUAGGCUGCAACUCGCCUACAUGAAGUCGGAGUUGCUAGUAAUCGUGAAUCAGCAUGUCACGGUGAAUGCGUUCCCGGGUCUUGUACACACCGCCCGUCACACCAUGGAAGUUGGGGGCGCCCGAAGUUGGUCGUAUGAUAAUAGACUACCUAAGGCGAAAUCAAUGACUGGGGUG
rnacentral:rRNA from 1 species